AUUAGUGGCGAACGGGUGAGUAACACGUGGGCAAUCUGCCCUGCACUCUGGGACAAGCCCUGGAAACGGGGUCUAAUACCGGAUACUGACCCGCUUGGGCAUCCAAGCGGUUCGAAAGCUCCGGCGGUGCAGGAUGAGCCCGCGGCCUAUCAGCUUGUUGGUGAGGUAACGGCUCACCAAGGCGACGACGGGUAGCCGGCCUGAGAGGGCGACCGGCCACACUGGGACUGAGACACGGCCCAGACUCCUACGGGAGGCAGCAGUGGGGAAUAUUGCACAAUGGGCGCAAGCCUGAUGCAGCGACGCCGCGUGAGGGAUGACGGCCUUCGGGUUGUAAACCUCUUUCAGCAGGGAAGAAGCGCAAGUGACGGUACCUGCAGAAGAAGCGCCGGCUAACUACGUGCCAGCAGCCGCGGUAAUACGUAGGGCGCAAGCGUUGUCCGGAAUUAUUGGGCGUAAAGAGCUCGUAGGCGGCUUGUCACGUCGGUUGUGAAAGCCCGGGGCUUAACCCCGGGUCUGCAGU
rnacentral:rRNA from 1 species